ensembl:lncRNA SMG7-AS1 SMG7 antisense RNA 1
UCCCCAACCUCCCUCCUCGCACCGGGACGAGCCGGCUUCGCCAGAGCUCAGCCCGGGCGGUAGGGGCUAGGCACCCAUACCCGUUCCGCCCCCUCCCGCAGAUCCCCUUGCAGUCUCCGCCGACCUGCCCGGCGAGGAGAGGACGCAGCAACUCCCCCGCCACCCCGGACUUACCUCGGUGUCUGUUGCUCCAUGCCCCAACCUGCGGCCCGCUCCCCCUACGUACCAGCCCGGCCUCGGCACUCACCGGAGGUACUGCGCGCUCUGCAGGCUCAUCCUCCGCCGCCGCCGCCGCGUCUUCCCGCGAAGCCUCCGUGGGUCUCUCAGGCUCCUCGGAGCGGCCCCGCGGCACCGCGGGUGCUGGCGGCCGCCGCCAUCUUCCUCUCCUCCGGCUCCUCCUCGCUCGGCAGGGGGGUGGGGGUGAAUGAGGCGAGGGGGAGGGAGUGGGGAAAGCUGCUCUCGCUGCUGCUCUGGCCCGUGGGGCGCAGGGACACUCCGACCCGGGGGGGAGGGGGAGGGAGGAGGGGCGGGGGAAAGAGGAGAAGCAGAGGAAGUCGGCGACCGGGCGAGGGAGGGGGUCCCUCUCGCGAGAUUUCAGCAGCGCCUGUCCCUCAGUGAUUUCCGCCUCUCUGUAGCGCUCCCUUUUGGGAUCAACGAGCUGUGUGGCGCCUGUGCGGCUUCUGAGAGACCGGCUGGUGGCGCUUGGCGGCUUCCUGCCAAUCCACCCUUCUCCUCCCGCGCAAGGGGGCAAUCCCAAUCCCACCACCGGGAACACCCAGGCCAAAAGAACGGGAGUUACACUCAAAGUCUUCCCCCUUCUUAUCACUCCUGCCGAUUUCCCUCUUCCUUUUUGCACGCCUCCACUCUUCCCCACCGGAAACGCCGCCCCUUCCUCCUACAGUUCCUCCCAGCAGUCCCUCAACGCCUGUCUUCCCUCGCGCGUAGAGAGUGACUCGAAGGACCCCCUCUCCUCUUCGCUGCAGCCCCUCCCCAUGCACGCUGGGAGACUCUUGGAGGGGAUAAGGUGGGGCCCGGAGAGGAAGAGAAGACAAUCGGAUUGGAUAGGCAGCUGCCAUGGCAACUGGAGGCUGUGGUUAUAUUGUCAUAGUAACCGAUGUGUGCGGACAGGGUCACCCUCCCCUUGGCCAAUGGAUUCCCAGGAAACCACCCAGGGUUCCCCGUUGGCUUCCCUUCCAUCUAAAGGCCUCCCCCAAGUUAGGAAUCGAUAUAGUUCUCCCCGGUGGUGAAGUCCACUUCCUCCUCCCUUCCCACUUCCCACAGCAACUGGGGGGACACCCCGAGGCAUUCACCAUGGGCUUUUCCACCCGCCUGCGAGCGGGAACCACCUCCGUAGUUUCCUCUCAGAGCCGGGCGUGGAGAGGGCUGGGCCUGCGAAGAGGAUGCAUGGCCUGGAGGCUGGCGGGCGGCGGGCUGGAGUCGGGAGGGCGAGGCGACAGCGCCAAGCGGCGAGGAAGGGCAAGGGGUUUCCCCACAACUGCCUUGGGCUCUGGGAGGCGGGAUCCCGCCUGGACGGGGUCCCUGAGGGAGGAGAGCGGCACACGACAGCCGCGAUGCCUUCCCUGCCGACGGGGAUAGCCGACUUCUGGCGAGUCGACCCCUCCCCCAAAUCCACCCCACCCGCGUACUCCCUCCUGACCUAGCUGUCGCGAGCCUGCCGCGAGGAGGCCAGGGUGAGGGUGGGAACACAUCCUAGAAGGCUAACACGUGGUUUUCUAUCAUUUAAGCCGGGGACAAGCCGGAAGGCUGACUAGCGCCAUCACUCUGAUAGGCACCCCGCAGUGGGGAUCCUGCUUGAUUAUUAAAGGCAGACCUCCAAGUUCCUCCCUGCUCUGCAACCUUUCUCUUCUCACGGGUCUGCAGUGUUUUAAAAGUCGUCAUUCUGUGUCGUUGAGUUAGAGAGGAAAACAUCGGAUAAAAGAGGAUCAAGAAGAACGAACCCUAGAUACAUCUGUCUGGUGAAAGGAGUCUAGGAAAAGAAGUUUCAUUCUUAGAACAAAUCUUUUUGGAUAUUUAUUAUGUGUGUUUUGUGUCAGGUUUCGGGCCAAAAAGCUGAAAUAAAGAACGAAGUCAAUAAUAAUAUGAAGUGUAUGAGAAAUAGCUGGAAAAUUCAUCAUCCAUGACUUGAAGAAAUUGACGUUUUACAAGUUAUAUUUUCGGUUCGUAUUGUGGAGUCACUUAAGGAGCUAUCCCAAAGUACUUUAGGAUAUGUAACUAUAUAAAACCUUCCAAGAAUGCAGCCCUCAUAGGAUAGUUAAAAUAAGGAUUUUAAUGGGCUAUUUUGAUUUGGUUUGGUCUGGUUUGGCUACCUGAUUCCUGCUGUCUUUUUCUACGCCAGGUGAAGAGGCACUUUCAAGAUCCUUCUCUGAGACCUGCACCAAUAAGACUAUACCAAUGUUCAGUUGAAACAUCAGGUAUAAGUUUAGCGGAAACGAAAGUACAACCUGCUUUGAAAUAAAUUCCAAGGACAGAUUGUCAUUAACGAAAUAGAAAGUGGACUAUGCCCCUCAUGCUGCCAGCGCCUGGUAUGGUGCGGCGUGACACGCAGCGCUUGCGGCAGUACAAUGCCCCCAAUCACCCGCCCCGCCCCGACGCGCCGCCCACUCACGGCAAAGAGAGCCACCUAGUGAGGGAUUAUUCUCAUUUCCGCGGUGGGGUUCUGCUUUUCUUUCUACCAUGAGCGCCCAAGGAUAGACACUCCUACUACCUAUUACCUCAAAUAGCCUACAUUUCUUUCCGAAAAUUUAUUGGUUAGAUAUUUUUCUUUUUUUUUUUUAAUUUAAAGACCAGUGUGAUCGUGUAUUGGUUAGAUUUUUUAAUUGGUUAGAUUUCAACCAGAAUAAAAAUUGUAAUAAUUAC